CUGCAGCUCCCCCGCCAACUCUGCAACCAGCAGUGCUCGGAGAUCCUCCAUUCUUCUACAACAAACAAAACAUCACCUGAGAAACAAGGCAGACUGUGAAGACAGAAAACUCAGACCCCCUCCACAAUCUCCUCCCCUGACAUCCGCUCAAGCAGGGCGUUCUUCCUGGGAAGCCUGACCCGAGACACUUUGGCACGUUGCAUUGGCGGCAGAAGUCGCUGCACCAGAACCAUCCCAUCCUACUGCUAACACAGGACCUUGUUUACUCACCACAAUUACGACUCUGUGUGUGGUCCCCUGGGGGCGUGUGUGGCUCCCCACUACCCUGUAAGCUGCAUGAACUCGGGGCCUGGUCUGUCUUCUCGUACAAUGUAUCCUCACAGCUACAUCACCAAGAGGCACUCAAGUACCUGGUAAAUGGAUUAACAGGUUCUACAUGUACAGGGCUGUUGUGGAGAUUAAAUGAGAUAAUACAUGUAAAGUGCUUACCUUGGUCAA